rnacentral:rRNA from 1 species
GUCUGCAACUCGACUACAUGAAGCUGGAAUCGCUAGUAAUCGCAGAUCAGAAUGCUGCGGUGAAUACGUUCCCGGGUCUUGUACACACCGCCCGUCACACCAUGGGAGUCGGAAAUGCCCGAAGCCGGUGACCCAACCAAAAGGAGGGAGCCGUCGAAGGCAGGUCUGAUAACUGGGGUGAAGUCGUAACAAGGUACC